rnacentral:rRNA from 1 species
AACGUAGGAGACAAACGUUAUCCGGAGUUACUGGGCGUAAAGGGCGUGUAGGUGGUUUCGUAAGUCUGGCGUGAAAUUUUUCGGCUUAACCGGGAAAGGUCGUCGGAUACUGCGGAACUAGAGGACGGUAGAGGCGUGUGGAAUUCCGGGUGUAGUGGUGAAAUGCGUAGAGAUCCGGAGGAAGCACCAGUAGGCGAAGGCGACACGCUGGGCCGUACCUGACACUGAUGACGGCGACAGCAAUGGG